rnacentral:rRNA from 1 species
UGAACGCUGGCGGCAGGCCUAACACAUGCAAGUCGAGCGAGAAAGCACUUCGGUGCGAGUACAGCGGCGGACGGGUGAGUAACGCGUAGGAAUCUACCCGGUAGUGGGGGACAACUUGUGGAAACGCAAGCUAAUACCGCAUACGCCCUAUGGGGGAAAGCGGGGGAUCUUCGGACCUCGCGCUAUCGGAUGAGCCUGCGUAGGAUUAGCUAGUUGGUGAGGUAAAGGCUCACCAAGGCGACGAUCCUUAGCUGGUCUGAGAGGAUGAUCAGCCACACUGGAACUGAGACACGGUCCAGACUCCUACGGGAGGCAGCAGUGGGGAAUAUUGCGCAAUGGGGGCAACCCUGACGCAGCCAUGCCGCGUGUGUGAAGAAGGCCUUAGGGUUGUAAAGCACUUUCAAUUGGGAGGAAAGGUUGUACGUUAAUAGCGUGCAGCUAUGACGUUACCUUUAGAAGAAGCACCGGCUAACUCC